rnacentral:lncRNA from 1 species
CUAAACGGUGUGGCCGCAAUUUGUACAACAAACUUUUACUCGCCAAAAGUGGUGUUGCCCAGGAGCAACAACGGGCAUAUGCGGAGGCAAGAGCACAUGU